CCUUAACCUGCUAACUAGUUUACGAAACGCAAGUUUCGGCAAACUUCUUAGAGGGACUAUCUGUGACUAACAGAUGGAAGUUUGAGGCAAUAACAGGUCUGUGAUGCCCUUAGAUGUUCUGGGCCGCACGCGCGCUACACUGAUAAAGGCAACGAGUAUUCACCUUAACCGUAAGGUUUGGGUAAUCUUUUGAAACUUUAUCGUGAUGGGGAUUGAGCAUUGCAAUUAUUGCUCAUGAACGAGGAAUUCCUAGUAAGCGCGAGUCAUCAGCUCGCGUUGAUUACGUCCCUGCCCUUUGUACACACCGCCCGUCGAUACUACCGAUUGAAUGGCUUAGUGAGACCUUUGGAUGAUACUUUAGCCGCAAGGCAUGUAGGUGUCAGAAAUUGUUCAAACUUAUCCAUUUAGAGGAAGUAAAAGUCG
rnacentral:rRNA from 1 species